rfam:Camelus ferus unplaced genomic scaffold scaffold1428, whole genome shotgun sequence.
GAGGGUAUAGCUCAAGUGGUAGAGCGCAUGCUUAGUGUGCACUAGGUCCUGGGUUCAAUCCCCAGUGCCGCCU